UACGGAGGGUGCGAGCGUUGUCCGGAAUCAUUGGGCGUAAAGGGCGCGUAGGUGGCCCGGUCAGUCUUUGGUGAAGCGCGGGGCUCAACCCUGCGUCGGCCAGGGAUACUGCCGCGGCUCGAGCACUGUAGAGGCAGGCGGAAUUCCAGGUGUAGCGGUGAAAUGCGUAGAUAUCUGGAGGAAUACCGGUGGCGAAAGCGACUCUCUGGACGGCAACUGACGCUGAGGCACGAAAGCGUGGGGAGCAAACAGG
rnacentral:rRNA from 1 species